rnacentral:rRNA from 1 species
GAUGAACGCUGGCGGCGUGCCUAAUACAUGCAAGUCGAGCGAACAGACGAUGAGCUUGCUCCUUCGACGUUAGCGGAGGACGGGUGAGUACCACGUAGGUAACAUCCCUAUAAGAAUGGGCUUUCUUCGGGGAAAUGGCGCCAGUAACCGAUGAUAUUUCGCACCGCAUAGUUCUCCUGCGCAUGGUGGCAUUGCUAUCACUUCUGGGUGGAACUGCGCCGUCUUGGCUAGUUGGGAAGGUAACGGCUUACCAAGGCAGCGAUGCGUAGCCGACUUGACAGGGAGAUCGGCCACACGGGAACUGAGAGACGGUCCAGACACCUACGGGAGGCAGCAGUAGGGAAUCUUCCGCAAUGGGCGAAAGCCGGACGGAGCAACGCCGCGGGAGUGAUGAAGGUCUGCGGAUCGGAAAACGCUGUUAUUAGGGAAGAACAAACGUGUAAGUAACUGGGCACAUCUUGACGGUACCAAAGCAGAAAGCCACGGCUAACUACGUG